GCUAGUGUGGCAUAGAGGUUUGAGUGUUGAACUGAGACUCAGGAGACCAGGGUUCGAUUCUCAGCUCAGCC